AAUUUAUUAGUUUAAUUAAAAACAUUACAUUUUCAAUGUAAAAAUAAACUAUAUUUAUAAAUUA
rnacentral:tRNA from 1 species